UACGGAGGGAGCUAGCGUUGUUCGGAAUUACUGGGCGUAAAGCGCACGUAGGCGGCCGUUCAAGUCAGAGGUGAAAGCCCGGGGCUCAACCCCGGAAUAGCCUUUGAAACUAGAUGGCUUGAAUCUUGGAGAGGUCAGUGGAAUUCCGAGUGUAGAGGUGAAAUUCGUAGAUAUUCGGAAGAACACCAGUGGCGAAGGCGACUGACUGGACAAGUAUUGACGCUGAGGUGCGAAAGCGUGGGGAGCAAACAGG
rnacentral:rRNA from 1 species